rnacentral:rRNA from 1 species
UCCUACGGGAGGCAGCAGUGAGGAAUAUUGGUCAAUGGGCGCGAGCCUGAACCAGCCAAGUCGCGUGAGGGAAGACGGUCCUAUGGAUUGUAAACCUCUUUUGUCAGGGAGCAAAGGGCGCCACGUGUGGCGCUUUGCGAGUACCUGAAGAAAAAGCAUCGGCUAACUCCGUGCCAGCAGCCGCGGUAAUACGGAGGAUGCGAGCGUUAUCCGGAUUUAUUGGGUUUAAAGGGUGCGCAGGCGGAAUGUCAAGUCAGCGGUAAAAUUACGGGGCUCAACCCCGGC